rnacentral:rRNA from 1 species
UACAGAGACUGCGAGCGUUAAUCGGAAUUACUGGGCGUAAAGCGUGCGCAGGCGGUUAUGCAAGACAGAUGUGAAAUCCCCGGGCUCAACCUGGGAACUGCAUUUGUGACUGCAUGGCUGGAGUGCGGCAGAGGGGGAUGGAAUUCCGCGUGUAGCAGUGAAAUGCGUAGAUAUGCGGAGGAACACCGAUGGCGAAGGCAAUCCCCUGGGCCUGCACUGACGCUCAUGCACGAAAGCGUGGGGAGCAAACAGG